rnacentral:sRNA from 1 species
CUUCGUGGAAUCUGGUUGGCAGGUACUCUCUCUCUCUCUCUCUCUCUCUCUCUCUUUCUUC